CGCAAAUCGCGUACCCAACCUUUAAAAAUACUUUUAACAAGUUAAACUCCAAAAUUAAACAGCAGGAGAAUCACAGCUUGACCACACGUUGCCUGCAGGCAUUGAAGAAGAGAUCUACCCGCGAAAACUUCGUCUCCAAGACCCUAAAGAUGCUCUCGCCAGAUGAGAGCUUGGCAGUCCAAGUGGAAGCAAGGAUACUGACAACAGCCCUCAUUCCAAAUCUGCAGGUCCAGUCUGCGCAAAGUACAAGUCAAGCAGCGGACGGGACAAGUGCAACAGAGAGGGAAGAAGUAGAAGAAAAUCUACUGAAAAAGCGCAGAAUGUUCCAGGAAUGGGAAGACACUCCAGACCUUAUUGAGGCGGAUGAAAUACAGCGCUAUAUGCUGUCACAUUUGAGUCUUGAGGACUGCACAGAAGACGUCCUUGGAUUUUGGAGGGAUCACGUCACGAUUUCCCUCUCCUCUCGAUGUUGGCAAGAGCGGUGCUUUGCGUUCCUGCAACCAGGGCAUCAAGCGAGUGCGCUUUCAGUUCAGCAGGUCGCGUGCUGGAAGCGCGUUGCAAUAGGCUAAACCCCGGCACCGUGGAUGCCAUCCUCUUUCUCCACAGUGCUUCCAAACAGCGGUCAUGUAUACAGUAGCCCUUAGUUCAAAUUUGAGUUUUCAAUUUGUAGCAUUCACACCGCAAUACCUAAUUGUUUUAGUUCCCUCUAUUGUGUGUCAGUUAAGAUUUUUGCAGACAUAGGUUCAUUGUUAUUAUUGUUAUUAUAAAGCUGCGGCUAAUCAGCUCUGAAUUAUCUGUAAAUUAAAACUUCCUUUCG
ensembl:lncRNA